UGAGAAAGGGUCUUUCACUGGAGUUCCCUUCUCUUUGAAGUCUUUCCUGUAAACCUAUCUCUUCAGAUACAGCCCAAAUUCUGAAGACCUGGAGUGCAGAGGAUGAUCAGAGUGUGAAAGGACAAUGGAACCUGUACCAAGACUUCAGCAAGAGAGACGGGAUGGGACAGCCAGAUGCUGGAGACCCUGUUUCAGCUUCACACGGCCACUUGCUGUAGUCCAGACUACAGACCCACAAGGCAUGCCCAGCUUCCACUGGUACUGUCACAGCUGUUAGAACUGCAGGAUCACCUCAGUCACCAAGGGCCCUGGUUUCAAUGAAGAUGGAAGCCAGAUGUGGGACAGACAGGAGGUGGGCUGCCUGUCCAAGGCACGUUCAUCCUGCGAGCAGGAACUCCCAACAAGCUGAUGAUACAUUUAUUCCCUAAUUCCUCACCUAAUGCUGAAACAGCAGCAACUUCCGUACCUCAUAAGAGAAAACAAAGCAUAAUGAGGAAAACCAAAACAGGCUGAUUUAGUUAUAUUGGCCAGUUUUAUUGGCAAUGACCAAGGAAACUGAUAUAUGCCAUAUUGCAGAUGAACUUUUAUCUGCUGCUUUAAUAGGAGAACUUCAUUGUGCUGAAAGUCCCUUUCCUAGAGCUGUGAUUCACAGACAUCCUGUGCAGCUGGGGACAUAUUAUGGAUCUGAAUUGAAAGGACACCCUAACUGUGGUUCUGCAUGCAGUUUUGACAUGAAAAUUUGUCAUUUUGAAAUAAUUGUCUGAGUAGUCUGUUCAGCCUAUCUCUGCCCCUUACCCAGCACAUUGUGUUUGGAAGGGGAAGAUACGGGUGAAGCCAUUUCAGAAACAAGCCCUAACUUUUGUGUACUUCCAUUUCCUUUCUAGAGCUGGGUAAUUUAAAGUGACACAUUGAAAAAAAAUACAGUGUUUUAUCAGCUCUCUGUUCAAGCAGGUGGUGCUGUAUUUUGUAUAAAGGACAGUGGUUAAUUUAAGAUUCCUACCAUAGCAGCAAUUCUAAAUGACAGCAUUUGUAUUAGAAGAGCUGCUCUUCCUAGCAGCGCUGUUAUAAAAAUACUGAAACAGUGGUGAUAUUAUUAUAGAUCUGCUCCAGUAACAAAAGUUCUACUGUAAGAAAUUCUCUGAUUUAGAAAAUCCUUGCCAUCUUUCACCAGUGAUAAAUGUUCCCUUGGUUUCCAUGCUGCUCCCAUUGAAUCCUUGUGACUGGAAGAAUUCACAAGCAAGCAGCUGUGCACAGUACAAGUGCAACAUGUUGUAGUGGCUUCAGCAGGAGCCUUUGGGUGGCAGGAUCUGGCUUGAAGCAAUAUGCAGGGUAGCAGAGGGAGAGAAAACAGCUGGGAGCUAGCCUGCAUUUUCCAAAAGCCUUUUGUGCCUCACUGCUCAGAGCAGUGUGCAUGGGGGCAGGAGGGAUGUCCUCCCGCUUCCCCCAGAGCACCCAGGCAGGGCAAGGCUCUCUGCUUGGGAGAAGAGCUGAAAGCAUGAGUCAGGAGGAUCAUGAACGUGCUGUUAGUCUGCUCCUGAUGUUGAUGGCUUCCCCAUUGCUGGUGAUUCAGCAAUAAUGAGUGGUGUAGGCUGGGGCUGGAAAGGGUACUUCAUUCCUUCUCCCUGUCCACUCCCUGGUGGUAAAGCUGGGGCUGGCUGAGCUCCCCCUGGUAAGGUGGCUUAUGAAGUUGUCCUCCUCCAGCCAUGGGUUUGCAUUUUAGAAGUCUAUUUGUGUACAAAUGAAACAUUAUUAACUUCAAUUCCACCACAUAGAUAUUAGCAUUUCCAAUGGAAUCGGAAGCCACAGCCCGUAAGAGCCAUUUCUACUCUCCUGAGUUUUGUGGUGGGGUGUGGAGCAGUUCACACCAAUGUGCUUGUGGCAGGCCAAGCACACACACUGCUGGGCUGAGUGAGGGGCUGAGAAACUGGUGACAAAGUUCAUUCGUCCUUUCUCCUUGUGUUGCAUCUAAGUGCUCUUUUAAUUACUCUAAUGUUUUUGUCUUGUGACAUUGCCUCACUGGUCACCUCACUCUCCAAUUACUGCUUGUGUAAGGAAAUGCUUCUUGACAUUGCCCUCAAUUUCUUUUUACUUUAUUUCCAUUUUGCUUAUCUGUGACAGAAUGAAAGUAUGGACCAAGGCUGAAAUUAGCCAUUAGGAUUUUUACAUACUUUAAUUAGUAUUCUUUUAAGAAAACUCAUUUCUUUCUCUUUUUUUUUUUUAAUUCUACUCCAUACAAGCCAGUUGUUUCUAGCCUCACAGGCUUAAUGUCUUAAUUUUCAAAUUAACCUUCUCAAUUCUUUUCUGAAUAUUUCUGGUGCCGCAGUAACUUCCUUAUAAUAUGGUGACAAGGAAUUAAUGAGUAAUUUAUUUCAUUUUCAUCUGUUGAUAUUUUGCUGGUCUAUACAGGAAACAGUGUUUCUUUUGAAAUAAAUACUGCUGUUGCCUACCUGGGAUCUGUUGUGGACGGGAGCUAAGUUUAGCUGCACGCUGCUGGGUGGUGAAGAGAAAAUUUAAAACCAGGCACUGUGACCAGUCUGAGAAGCAGGUGUAGAACACUGGAUGUGGAUCACUCUGCUCUUUGCAUGUCACCCCCUCAGAGUUUGCUGUGUGCUUGAGAAGCGUUUUGUGGGGAAACAAUCAAAUUGAAUUUUGCAGAGUUUAUCCCUGUGGGUUUUUCAUACCUUUCCUAUUCCACAAACCUUAGCUCUUGUGUCUCUCAGUGACCCCAGAGCUCGUGUGAGAAGUGAGGCUCCAAGGGAGGCAAGGGUCAGGGAGGGGUGCAGGAGCGGUCACCAUCCAGAGGCUUGGUUUUCCUAAAGUCACUCUUCCUCUCUAUACUUCAGGGACAAGAGAACAGGGAGAAUGGAGAUCAAGGGAGAAGGGAUCUCCUUCCCAUCACAGUCCACCUAGAGUUAUUCUCUGAGGAGUAGUCCCUCCAUUAAUUCAUCAAGUGGCAUCUCAAUGAGUUUUCUUACUCUCUUGCUGACUUCCAUGGUGCAGAUCAGGUUAGACUUGCUUCAGCAGUGGGGAAUUGGCCAACUGUAAUUAAAAAUGAUUGUCAGUUGACACCAAGGCUUCACGUUAUUAGUUUAAAUGAAGAUACUUUCCAUGGACAAUGAUCCUUGCAUACCUUAGCACAAGCUAUUGCAUGCAAUUAGCUUGCAGGAAAAAAAAAAACAUGCUAAAGAAAAUAUCAACCAGGAAAACACUGGCAUCCAUGCCCUCCUUCAGUAGGAAAAAGUGCAUCCCACAAACCCAGGUUGGCUUUCUGCUGAAACAGAAACCAUAUGCAGGACCUAGUGAGCUUCCAAGGCCAGGACAGUUGGGAUGUAAGCAGCUCAGGCUCACUCUUGGCUAAAUUACUAAAAUCACAGCUUUUGCUUUAGCACAUCUCUCAGCUCUUUCCCAGUUGAAUAGUCAGCAUUGUUUGUAGUCAGAGUGGCUUCUCCAAGGCUGGGUUAACUAUGUCAGUGUCAUUUCUGAUGCAUGUUUGUCCAAACUGUUCAUCAGCACCUUUCAUGAUGAGGACCCCACCACAUGCCCAGGCCAUCUGCUCCAGCACUUUCUGUAGGCCUGCUCUUACAAAGUGCUUUCUAAUGUCUAGCUUAAGUUGUCCUUGCUGCAAUUUAACUCCAUUUUUUCUUAUUCUGUCACAGCAGGUACAGUACAGCAUUUUUUCCAGCUUCUCACAAGUCAUGUUUUCAAGACCUUUGAUUAUUAUGACUGUCUUCUUUCCUUUCUUUCCCUCACAUCUUUCUUGAAGCCCAGUUCUCAAACCUGAACAUGGUUUUCCUCUAGUACUGAGAGGAAAUGAACUUUCUAUUUAUUUCAUUUAAUCUAAUUUACUGCCCAUGCUCUGGUUUGGGGAAAGGCUUCUUUCCUGAUAUUUUUUUAAAACUUAUGCUGGAUAAUACAGAUAUCACUAUCAAAAGAGUAUAAGCUAGUGCCUGGCAGCCACAAGGAUGAGGUGAGACCUGAGAAGAGCAAAAUCACAUCCUUUCCACUCAUUAUCAUCCAUCUUCUGCAAUAACCAAACACAUCUUCAACCCCAAUCUUACUGAGCCCACGGCUUGUUGGGGAACAAACUAUGCCAAAGGGAAUAAGCAACUCAUAGUUUGCAUUAAUUUACCAAAUGCAAAUCAGUGCUGUGAGCUAUAACUAAAUAGUGCUUCUACCAUUCCACUGCCUGUGCUGUAUAAGAAAUUCACCAUGUAACUAUACUGGCUGCAGCUCUUCCCCAGCAAUAUGGAAUCAUUAAGAAAUCUUAUAAAAAAGGAGCAUGUGUAAGAUACCAUGGGGCUUCCAUUAAGCAUAAAGCUACCUCAAAACCUCUCUAGGUGGAGGGUAUUACUGGAGUGAGUCACCAACCAGAACGUAGAAAUGCCUCAGCAACUCCAGUUCUGCACUGGAUCUUACAUGCACACAUACACACCUAUAUAUUGUACCUUUCCCAAAUAUCUCAACGUUAGAAAAAGAUAUUUAUUUUCCACUUCAAAGGACUUUUACUGGUACUUUUUGUGUCUCUGCACAAGGAUGUAUCUGACCUAGCAUGUCCCCAGCAAACUUCUUUAGUAUAAGACAGGAAUUCUGUCUACUACAUACAAUAGCAUCAGUGAUAAGGUAGCUGGAAGAAAUGUUAUAUGUGACACAUCAAAUACCUUGCCACUUAUAUAUCAGGAAUCAGACACCUAGGAUCAUCUCACCAGAAAAGCUGUAUACCAUUAGGUCUGUGGUGCGUUCCAUAAAAAUUUCUGGAUGCAAGAGCAUGGAAGAAGGAUUCUUAAAUAAUAAUAAUAAUAAUAAUAAAAGAAUCAGUGAAGAAAAUCCAUUCAAAUAAUUUUGGUGGUGAGUACAAAUGAGACAUAUCGAAGUAAUUAUCUCCUUCCUCUGUGUUUUAUACACUAGUACAAUCUGAGGACAUGGUCUAUGGCAAUAAGUAAGAGCACUAGAACAGCUGUAUUAUAGUACCAGACAGUUUAUGCGUACUUUUGCAGAGAGAAGACUGCAGAUAAAAUGAAUACAGUACUAGGCAAGUUACAAGUCAAUACAGAAUUCUUACAGCAAAGUUAUAUAUGUAUAGUGGCUCCCACAUGAAACAAAUUCUUCCCAUGUUGCCCAUGUAAUUCAGCUGCCUUUAGUUCUAAAUUGCCACUUUCAAGAACAAAAUGGAGCAGUACUUCUGUGGGUAGUGGAUGUUUUUCUGCUUCUUCACUGCAAGUACAACAACAGGCCACCAUUUUUGCUGAGCUAGCUGUUUCCUCGCUUAGUCAAGUCUCUAUGUUUUUAUUGGCAGAGCUAUAUUGCAGAUUUUAGGAGCCACAAGGAGCAAAUCAUGCUUUAGAUUCUAUAACAUAAAUGUUAAAUAGUUCUGUGCUGAAAUACACUGUGGGUGCAAUUAGAUGUCUUUGCCAUGCCCAAAUAAGUAAACACAGAUCUUGGCUGUUCACCCAAGAUCCUGAGGAAGCCUGCACAGCACAGGGUUAUUCAUGUGGGGCAGCAAUGCAGUGUAAGCCAAACCAGGAACAACUCAGGGGCUCCCACUGAUUUGGCAGGGCAGUAGAUGGGUCAGCCCUGCUCCACACCCUACCAACAACACGAGCAGCAGCUGGUGGCCUCAUUUCCCAGCCUGGCAGAGGAUUCUGAGUUUGGCUGGAGCUGUGCUAGUCCUCAUGUUAGUGCUGGUGCUGCAGUUCCUGCAACUGUACUGAGGACACAAGAGUUUUGUAUAGAUUAUCAGCAUUUCCCACGUGGACAGCCCAUGUGGCUUGAUGAUAUUUUCUUCGCCUAUUUCAGAGUCGUCUCAGAUGGGAAUUACAAAAGUUUCCAGAAAUGUCCCAAUUUGGAGACAUUUUAUCACAGACUCUAACUUACUGCCACUGAAAUCACAGUUGCCUGCAAUCUCAAGUGUAAGUUCUCUUUUCAAGAAAACUGAGGUUCUUGUGUUCUUGUCAGAGUUCUGAACAGCUUACCUGCAGAAGGGAUCCCUAUGGCACCUUUGCCAUCCAAAGACUUAAGGUACCUUAGAAUUAGUCACAGACAUUUCAGCUGCAAUAUUCUUUUUCCCUGAGGAGGAGUCUAUGAGGAGUGGGGUUUUCUCAAGGUCUCUCACUCCCCAUUAAGGCGCUGCCUUCUUUUUUGGUAUGCUUCAUUUUAAAAUGAAACAUUCAACACAUGUUUUAGGAAUGUUGUCAUAGUUAUUCUUAUCUCUUUCCUCAGCAGAGGCAAAUCACUUAUAAACAUUUCCAGCUUCACUCCCCUUUGCUUAGAUUAACAAACUGACCAGUACAUCACUGCUCUCAGUGAUAAGCUUCGCUGCAGUUCAGGACAGAGUCUCUCCUUCCAUGAGAGUAUUAUCAGACUGAAAGCCUGGCGGUGUAUUACACAGUUUCUUUGUCUCUCUGUAAUGCUUUUUCAACAUGAGUCAGUUUUCUGGCAGUGAGUCACCUACAAGUGCUGAAGAGUCACACAAAAAAUAUACAUAUAUUUUGCUUAAUGCUGAAAGCUAUUCCAUCAACUCUCACAAUUUUGUCCCCAGUCUCCCAUGAUCUGGGUUGGUUUUAGAUUUUUUGAAAGGGAUAGCUAUCCCAAUUUCUUUUCUUCAGAACUUGUGACAUUUCAUCAGUCUGUCUUGCUUCCAUUACUUCUGAGGAGGUGGAAGAGAACUUCUGGAGGAGGAACUGCCUGCCAUGUCAGUGCAAGCUGCACAUACCAGGGAAUUUGGUUAUCUACCUCCAUCUACCUUUUAUGGAUUCUGUGGGUGCCUCCUUGAUAAUCUUCUGGACAUCCUUUUUCUUGCUUAUAUAUCAUAGAAUCAAUCAUAGAAUCAUAGAAUCACCAAGGUUGGAAAAGACCUAAAAGAUCAUCCAGUCCAACCGUUCACCUAUUUCCAAUAGCUCCCACUAAACCAUGUCCCUCAACACAACAUCAUCAUUAAAGGUGCCUGCUUCAUUCCCAGCUGUUGUUUCUGUUGUCUAUUUUCUGUAAUUUUCUGCCUCAAAUUCAGGCUUUGUGCUGUGAACUCAACUGUGCAUAUACGGCAUAAUCUCAAGAAAAAGAGGA